rnacentral:rRNA from 1 species
UACGGAGGGUGCGAGCGUUAAUCGGAAUUACUGGGCGUAAAGCGCACGUAGGCGGUUUGAUAAGUCGGAUGUGAAAGCCCUGGGCUUAACCUGGGAACUGCAUUCAAUACUGUCUGACUAGAGUAUGGGAGAGGGAAGCGGAAUUUCCGGUGUAGCGGUGAAAUGCGUAGAUAUCGGAAGGAACACCAAUGGCGAAGGCAGCUUCCUGGCCCAAUACUGACGCUCAUGUGCGAAAGCGUGGGGAUCAAACAGG